ensembl:lncRNA
AAUGGACAACUUUGGAUGGAUUAAUGAAGAAUGCAGUCUGUAUGUGACUAUAUAAAAAUAAAUCCACAGUCGCAUAACACACUUUAUAGUGUUCAGAUGGCUGUGUCAAGGGCCUUACAGUCACUCCAGUUAAAUCAGAAAUAGGAAUAAAAAGAUAAGUAGAAAAUCACCGUGUAUUUGGAAAUUUGAAAAUACUUCUGUUUGUAGGUCAUAAAGUAGGGAAAUAUAAAAUGUUUUGACAGCAAUAAAGAAAGUGCUAUGUAUUAAAUUUGUAGUAUGUAGCUGAAAUAUUUUCUGACAGAUUAAUAACUCUAAACACAUUCAAAGAGGGAAGAAGAAAAUUAUUGAGCAAUGCAUCUAUCUUGUUGUAAUGUAUGCUAACUAGGAUAAAAAGUAAUUUCUUUAACCUGAUUAAAAAAAAAAGUCAGAAUAAGCCUGUGUCAGUUUUGAAGUAGUAGAAGGAAGAACAGAGGAAACAGAAAACAUGCAGCAGGGCCACAGCCAGGAUCACAUCAGGGCCACAGCAAGGCCACAGCCAGGAUCACAGAAGGGCCAAAGACAGGGACUCAGGCAGGGCCACAGACAGGGACUCAGGUAGGGCCACAGCAGGGACUCAGGCCUCUUUAGAAGAGAUGAUGGACAUUGGCAGAUGUCAAGCAAAACCAUGAGCAAGGGACAAACAAGCCAUGGGAAGUACAUAGAAUGGGUCUUCCCUAUGGAUACAGAUGUUGAAAGGACAAGUGGUAUUUAUGAAGAGCACACUAACUUAUUUAAAUCAGUUCCAUUGGUGCUUUUCUAAAAUAGCCAGGUGCAAUGGCGUGUGACUGUGUCCUGAGCAUUCGGAAGGCUGAGGUUGAAAAGGUCUUGAGGCCAGUCAGGCUAUGUAGUCUUAAACAAUUUUAAUAGAAAGGGAGGAAGAAAGAUACAUUACUCAUCAUUCACAGCUUGUGUUUUACAGGUUAACAUGGCAAAAAUUUUGCAUGUUGUGACAACACUGAUACAUUUUUAGAAAAUCGAAUUUAUCAGUAUUAAACGCAGGUGAGGGAAAACUGGAUGUUCCUGUAAUCAGAAGGAAAUGGAUCCACAAGUAAUACUCAUAACGAAGAUACCAGGCCAAAUGCUUCUACUGGUUUGCCCUACCAAGCAUAUGAAGAGUUAACAUUCUGUUUUUUCUCAAACUUAGGAGACUGAGGCAGCGGGGUUGGUUAUAGAGCUGCUCAUUCUGAUGUCAGCUGACCUUGUUCUCUAGGAAUAGUAGAAGGGAGGAGAUCAUUGUUAUCUCACACCUAAGAAUCAAAGCCAAACCCAGCAGUGCAUAGAACGACAAAAUGUUGUAGGGCGAAGCUGUUGCCUUACAAGUAUUUGCUACCAAGAGAGAACCCGGAACCAGCAUAAAUUCAUGCCAAGAGGUUGGAAAAACAGCGUAAACCAGUGGAUGAUGGCGGGAAUAAUGAGAUAGAAUUGGAUCACAGUCAUCCUCAGGUCAUCUCAGUGGUUACCCCAGGGUUCUUCCUGCCUUCUCUCUCUAAGAACAGCUCGCAACACCCAGCUUGACAGUAGCUCUCAUCCUGUAGUCUUCUAAACUUACAGAGUUACAUAAACUGUCCCAGUGCACAGGAGUGAAGGGCUGAGCCUAAGCUCAUUCAGUGACAGUCUAGUGGCCUGCUACCCAGGUGACACGGAUACUACAAAAAGCAAUAAUUUUGACAUUACAAAAACACGGAAGAUGUUCAUGGAGAAAAAUCAUAAAAAUUUCUAAAAGCUUGAAGUAAAACAUUGACACUAACAUAAUGCUGUAGAAGAGUUGCUCGUUGAUGGGAGUCCACAUCACAAUGUCAGUCACAGUGUCAGUCCUCCCCAUGUUCAUGUAAAUUCUGCAUGGCUCAAAUUAAAAGUUCAGUAGAAAUUCCGAAAGGGAGAGUAUAGGCUAAAAACUUGACAUUAAUACAGGGCUUAAGGAAAUAGAC